CGUCGGUCUUCCCACACUGUUCUACCGUCAACCCCGUCAGGCCCGGAAGGGAGCAGCGGCAGCGGGACGAACAGGUGCUGGGGUCGGGCUGGCGGGG
rnacentral:SRP_RNA from 1 species